rnacentral:rRNA from 1 species
UACGGAGGGUGCGAGCGUUAAUCGGAAUUACUGGGCGUAAAGAGUGCGUAGGCGGUUAUUUAAGUCAGAUGUGAAAGCCCCGGGCUUAACCUGGGAACGGCAUUUGAUACUGGGUAACUCGAGUUUGGGAGAGGCAAGUGGAAUUUCAGGUGUAGCGGUGAAAUGCGUAGAGAUCUGAAGGAACACCAGUGGCGAAGGCGACUUGCUGGCCUAAAACUGACGCUGAGGCACGAAAGCAUGGGUAGCAAACAGG